UACGUAGGGUGCGAGCGUUGUCCGGAAUUAUUGGGCGUAAAGGGCUCGUAGGCGGUCUGUCGCGUCGGGAGUGAAAACUCAGGGCUUAACCCUGAGCCUGCUUCCGAUACGGGCAGACUAGAGGUAUGCAGGGGAGAACGGAAUUCCUGGUGUAGCGGUGAAAUGCGCAGAUAUCAGGAGGAACACCGGUGGCGAAGGCGGCUCUCUGGGACGGUACUGACGCUGAGACGCGAAAGCGUGGGGAGCAAACAGG
rnacentral:rRNA from 1 species